UACAGAGGGGGCAAGCGUUGUUCGGAAUUACUGGGCGUAAAGGGCGCGUAGGCGGCCCGCUAAGUCGAACGUGAAAUCCCCGGGCUCAACCCGGGAACUGCGUCCGAUACUGGAAGGCUUGAAUCCGGGAGAGGGAUGCGGAAUUCCAGGUGUAGCGGUGAAAUGCGUAGAUAUCUGGAGGAACACCGAUGGCGAAGGCAGCCUUCUGGGCCAACACUGACGCUCAUGCACGAAAGCGUGGGGAGCAAACAGG
rnacentral:rRNA from 1 species